GACAGGACUAAAGACUGUCGGAGCUGACCGGUACUAAUAAGCCGAUAACUUGAUAA
rnacentral:rRNA from 1 species